rnacentral:tRNA from 1 species
CGCGGGGUAGAGCAAUUGGCAGCUCGUCGGGCUCAUAACCCGAAGGUUGCCGGUUCGAGUCCGGCCCCCGCAA